UGGGGAAUUUUGGACAAUGGGGGAAACCCUGAUCCAGCCAUCCCGCGUGUGCGAUGAAGGCCUUCGGGUUGUAAAGCACUUUUGGCAGGAAAGAAACGUCAUGGGUUAAUACCCCGUGAAACUGACGGUACCUGCAGAAUAAGCACCGGCUAACUACGUGCCAGCAGCCGCGGUAAUACGUAGGGUGCAAGCGUUAAUCGGAAUUACUGGGCGUAAAGCGUGCGCAGGCGGUUCGGAAAGAAAGAUGUGAAAUCCCAGAGCUCAACUUUGGGACUGCAUUUUUAACUACCGGGCUAGAGUGUGUCAGAGGGAGGUGGAAUUCCGCGUGUAGCAGUGAAAUGCGUAGAUAUGCGGAGGAACACCGAUGGCGAAGGCAGCCUCCUGGGAUAACACUGACGUUCAUGCACGAAAGCGUGGGGAGCAAACAGG
rnacentral:rRNA from 1 species